rnacentral:rRNA from 1 species
CCAAUAGCGUAUAUUAAAGUUGUUGCAGUUACAAAGCUUGUAGUUGAAUUUCGGGAUCAGUUGGUCGGUCGUGCCUCGGUACGUACUGGUCAAAUUGAUUCCUACCUUCUGACGAACCACGAUGUCAUUAAUUUGGUGUCGCGGGAAAUCAGGACUGUUACUUUGAAAAAAUUAGAGUGUUUAAAGCAGGCUCGCGCUUGAAUACAUUAGCUUGGAAUAAUGAAAUAGGACGUUUUGGUUCUAUUUUGUUGGUUUCUAGGAUCGACGUAAUGAUUAAUAGUGAUGGUUGGGGUCAUUAGUAUUCAAUUGGCAGAGGUGAAAUUCUUUGAUUUAUUGAAGACUAACUACUGCGAAAGCAUUUGCCAAGGAUGUUUUCAUUAAUCAAGAACGACAGUAAGGGGAUCGAAGACGAUCAGAUACCGUCGUAGUCUUAACCAUAAACUAUGACGACUAGGGAUCGGAUGAUGUUAAUUUUUUAAUGACUCAUUCGGCGCCUUACG